rnacentral:rRNA from 1 species
AGCGAACGCUGGCGGCAGGCCUAACACAUGCAAGUCGAACGAUCCUUCGGGAUAGUGGCGGACGGGUGAGUAACACGUGGGAACGUGCCCUUUGGUUCGGAAUAACUCAGGGAAACUUGAGCUAAUACCGGAUGAGCCCUUCGGGGGAAAGAUUUAUCGCCAUUGGAGCGGCCCGCGUUGGAUUAGCUAGUUGGUGAGGU